AUUUUAUUCCCUGUUGGGGCAGUAAUAGCUUAUAUAUGGUUGAGAUGGGUUUUACUGCUGGCGUGUCUGCCAUGAUGCUCUUUUCGAAGUUGGUUAGGGUGUUAGUGGUGUGUGAUAUGGGGUGUGGAGCCUGGGUCUUCCACCAGGAUUUUAGUUGGAGGUAAGAGAAGUGUGCUACAUUCGGCAGUGUAUACUUGGUUUUUAAAUGGUCGAAUGAGGCUAAUUCUCCUUUCUCUAUUAGGGAGUGUACGUAAAACACCCCACAUCUGUUCCAUAUUUUGAAGUUGAAAUCAG